GACGAACGCUGGCGGCGUGCUUAACACAUGCAAGUCGAACGGAAAGGCCCUGCUUUUGUGGGUUGCUCGAUUGGCGAACGGGUGAGUAACACGUGUGGAACCUGCCCUUUACUUUGGGCUAACUCCAGGAAACUGGGGCGCAUACCGGGUAGGAGCUCUUGCUGCAUGUUGGGGGUUGGUAAGUUUCGGUGGUUGGGGAUGGACUCGAGGCUUAUCCGCUUGUUGGUGGGGUAGUGGCUUACCAAGGCUUUGACGGGUAGCCGGCCUGAGAGGGUGACCGGCCACAUUGGGACUGAGAUACGGCCCAGACUCCUACGGGAGGCAGCAGUGGGGAAUAUUGCACAAUGGGCGGAAGCCUGAUGCAGCAACGCCGCGUGCGGGAUGACGGCCUUCGGGUUGUAAACCGCUUUCGCCUGUGACGAAGCGUGAGUGACGGUAAUGGGUAAAGAAGCACCGGCUAACUACGUG
rnacentral:rRNA from 1 species